rnacentral:rRNA from 1 species
UACGUAGGGGGCAAGCGUUGUCCGGAAUCAUUGGGCGUAAAGGGCUCGUAGGCGGCCAACUAAGUCGGAUGUGAAAUCCCCAGGCUCAACCUGGGAACUGCAUCCGAUACUGGAUGGCUUGAAUUCGGGAGAGGGAUGCAGAAUUCCAGGUGUAGCGGUGAAAUGCGUAGAUAUCUGGAGGAAUACCGGUGGCGAAGGCGGCAUCCUGGACCGACAUUGACGCUGAGGAGCGAAAGCCAGGGGAGCAAACGGG